AAAACUACAAAACUGAUAAAAGAAAUCUAAAAAAUGGAAGGAUGUGUCCUGGCUUGUGGAUUACAAAACUCAAGUUUACAUAUUAGUUAUUCCCAACUUCAUACAGAAAUUCAGUGCAAUCCCAACCAAAAUUCCAGGAAGUACUUUUGAAAAUAUUGACAAUGAUUUUAAAGUUUAUAUGGGAAGGCAAAAGACUCACAAUAGGCAAGGUAAUAGUGAAGAGCGCAUUGGACUGACACUGCCUGCCUUCAAAGCUACAGUAAUUGAGAGAGGGUGGUGGUGGUGAAAGAAUAGCCACACAAAUAGUCAACCAACUUAUGACAAAGUAGUUAAGGUAAUUGAAUGGAGUAAGGAGUCUUUUAAACAGAUAGUGCUGGAACAACUGGAAAUCCAUUAAAAAAAGAGAAUCUAAUAUACCUUCUAUGAUCAAAUGAAUCAUAGAACUAAAUGUAAAAUGCAAAAUUAUAAAACUUCUAGAAGAUAACAGGGAAAAUGAAGGUGACCCUGCAUUUGUCAGUGAAGUUUAAGGUACAACACCAAAAGCACAAUCUAUGAAAGAAAAAAUUGAUAAGUUGGAUUUCAUUCAAGUGGAGGCUCUGCUCUGUGAAAGACAAUUUUUUUAAAUGAAAAUACUAGGAGGAAAUAUUUCAGAACACACCUGAUAAAGAUUUUUAACUAAAAUAUGCAAAGACCUCUUAAAACUCAACCCACUAUUAUGUAUAAUUAUAAUGCACCAAGAAAAAUAUCCUUAACAAUGAGAAAACAACCCAAUUUAAAAUUUGGUGAAAGAUCUGAAUGGAUAUCACAAAAAAAGAUACACAGGUUGCAAAAUAGCAUAUGAAAAGAGGCUCAACAUAUGUCACAGCAUAUUCUUAGCAGCAGUUUGAAAUUGUAAAAAACUUGAAACAUGGAUGUUCAUAAAUUGAGAAUUGGGUAAUCAUGGUACAUCUACGUAAUUUUCAUUCAUAGCAUUCCUCCUUUAUAAAGGAGGCAGCUUCCAGCUAGAGUGGUGGCACACAUCUGCAAUCCUGGCUACUUGAGAGGCUAAAGCAAGAAGAUCAUAAGUUUGAGGCCAACCUCAUUAGUUUAAUGAGAACUUUCCUCAAAAUAAAAAGAACUGGGGGUAUGACCCAGUGAUAGGGGGCCUCUGGUUCAAUCCCUAAUACUAUGUCUUCCCCCUAAAAUACAUACAUAUAUGUGUGUGUGUGUGUGUGUGUAUAAAGUUAUGCUUUUAUUGUGAUAUUUUGAAUGAGAUAAAGUGCUUAUUACAGUCCUUGACUAUUACUGAACUUUGAAUACAUGGCAAUUAUUAAUAGUUCGUUAAAAGUAGAAAUUAUAAACACCUUGUAUAAACUGGUUGCUCUGUUUUUAAUAAACUUUAUUGAAUGUAUUUUUUAAAAAGGGAGGCAUUUUAUAUGUGAAAUGACUACCAAAAAGCAAGAAAAAUGAAAAUGGGUAAAAAG
rnacentral:lncRNA from 1 species